rnacentral:lncRNA from 10 species
CAGUCUAAAUUGUGAUAAAUGAAAGUUUCACAGUUUUAAGGUAUUGAAUGCAAGGCUCAAUUGGAAAUGAUGUUUGUAACCAAUUACUUGGCCAAUGGUUCAGGUCUCCAGAGAGGUGGUCCUCUCCAUAAGCCAAAGCAUGUGUUACUGUUAGGAACUGGGAAAAAUAAAGGUUGGCCUUUUUGUUUGUUUGUUUGUUUGUUUUUUUCCCCCUUCAACACAGGGCCUCACUCUGUAGCCC